GGGAAGGACAAAGGGAUGACUGAAACGAGACUCUAGGGGCGGGGGAGAGAAGGAGGCGGCGGAGCGGGCCGGGGAAGGAGAAGGGAAGGGCCGCAAUCAGGUGGCGAGCGGAGACCCGGGCGCCCGGGCCCCCGUCGGGGCCGUACUCCGCGGCCCGGGCUCGCGAGCCGAGGCGCGGGGCGCCGCUGCUGCUCUCCCAGCGCGCGGACGACCCUGGGGACCCGCGCCCGCCCGCCCCUCGGGGACCGCCCUCCCCUCGCGCCGACGCGAGCCCCUUAGGAAACUUAACUUCGCGUCUUUCCCAGAAAUGGGUCUCUUCCUGUUUGGGAAGAAGAGUCUUCCCGAAAUCUUAGGGCGGUGGACUUCACGCACACGCAGAAGAGGUUUUGUUUUGGUUUUUUAAUUCCCGGCGUUCGAGAUUGAUGAGCCUUAGUGGAAGUUCAGUUAACAAGGGCUCUCUCCUUGGAGUCGCAAGACCUGUGGUCUGAAAGCGCCGGCUUAAGUGAGGUAGCAAUGUCAAUCCUCUAUUUCCACUGAUGCUGAACUCACAGAAACUGUGUAAACACACACAAGUUCAUUGUGAAUGAGGAAAAUCUGUGUUCAGCUCUAGGAAUCUCCCACAGACGGCCAGAAGUUCUACACAGACCCACGUUCAGCCUUGCGUGCCUAGAGAACAGCCAGGCUAUUCCAUGCUGAUACGGCAACCUCCCUGACAGAGUGCCCCCCGGAUGUUUCUCAAGAAAAAGAUAAUUUUAGGGGCGCCUGGGUGGCUCAGUUGGUUAAGUGACUGCCUUCGGCUCAGAUCAUGGUCCCAGGGUCCCGGGAUCGAGCCCCAAAUCAGACUCCCUACUCCUCGGGGAGCCUGCUUCUCCCUCUCCCCCUCUGCCUGCCACUCCCCCUGCUUGUGCUCUCUCUCUCUCUGUCAAAUAAAUAAAUAAAAUCUUUAAAAAAAAAAGAAAAAAUAUUUUAAACUUUUAAAGUCAAUGCAAAACUGUGUUUGAAGGCAGCCUGUUUAGGAAGAAAAAAAAAUCUUUUUAAAUCUGCCUACCUUUAUUGCUGCCAUCCCAGAGACCCCUUGAAAUCAGAAGGUUCAACCAAGGUGAAUCUGAAAAGCUUGAGUCUAGGACAACAAUUCCAAAGUGUAAAAGAGGGAAUGGAAGGUACUGACAGAUGGAACAGGAAAAUCCAAGGAGGAGGAAUGGCAGUUAGGUCCCUGCCGGUGUUUUAUGGUGGUGGUGUUGGCCGGGAGGCACUGCCGAGUAAGUAGAGGCCGAGAGAUCGCGGUCUCCUUUAAGCACAAAGGUUUAAGGAGUGCUCAACUUCUCUGAAAGACUACAUCUCAAAGAACCAUAGCUUGGCUUUAAACACUGAUAAUAAUACUUAAAAUUUACUGACUGCCUUUUGUUCAUAUUUCUCAAAAUUUCUUGUAAAUAUCUCACUAGAUGUUUCCUGUGGUAAAGGAAUAGGUAGUUGCCAUAUUAGAACAUUCUUUUUCUUUCUUUCUUUUCUUUUUUUUUUAAGCAAUCCCAGUGUCUACAUUUGGUAAAUGUCCCACCAAAUUAUGUUAAUCGGUACUUUGAAAGUUCUAUCCUAACCUCUCUUUUGGUAGGGUAAUGUCAAAGCAUAGCGAAGAAGUUGAUUUGAUCACAAUAAAAUAAUUAAAAGAUCGCGAGGAAAAUGAAACAGCAUUGAUAUUGCUGUGAUUAGAAAUAUAAUUUAAGAUGUAGAUUUUGCUUUUAAUUAUUCUAGUUGAUUAGGACAUUUGAAACUCCUGGGGAUGACGGGAAAGGUGAAAAAAGAUGAUGGGAAGGAAGAAAAUAACAUCUGUGUGAUACAUAAUUUUGCCUGAUACAGCAAGGCCACUUUUAUUAGAGUGGCAAGAAAUUACUCACUUUCUUCAUAUGUGUUUAUUAGGGUAGGAACAAGACCUUAAAAAUCCCCCAAACCUGCCCCAGAACUACAUCAAAUUUUGAUAUAUGAAUAUAUUCCAUAGUGAUGAUAUCAUAGAAAAAUUAUUUGGCUUACUCACACUACCUAUUUCUAGGACUGAAUUCUGUCAACAUUAUUCAAGUGAUAUUCUGCAUGUAUCAUUGCCGAUAAAUUAUCGGACUGUAUAUGUGAGUAUAUUAUAUGUUUAUUAGGGUCUUGUGAAUGGUCUAGCUGGUUGACAGGCUAUGCUUAUUGAAGUCGAAUUAAAUCUUAUAACGGGUAAAUUUAAUUUUGUAAUAGUUACAAAAGAGGGUAUGUAGAUGACUGGGCCAUUUGUGAAUAUGUGAGGUGGUUAUUAGUAAGAAUAUAUAUUAAAAUUAUAAAUCCAGUAGAAAAUAGCAAUUUCAUUCAACAUUAAUUACUGUUCCUCUCCAAGAUGAUGGAAAUGAGCAUUUAUUGAUAGAGAAACUAAAGCAUUAAAACAUAAUUCAUUCCCCCUUAUGUUCCCACUAACUGUUCUUGGUAAAAGAAAGGCUAAUAAUUCAGAAGUUUCAAGUGCCCCAAACCAUAGCUUCUUUAGUUAGUGUCACUUUUAAUUACAGUAUUGAUAUAAUCAAGCUUUCUCUCUAUGUAGAUUUGUAAUAAAAUAUAAUAUUUUAAAGUAUAAUACUGGUCUCUGUUUGCUCACAAAAAAAGUUGAUGAAAACAUGAUAAUGUUUAUUCAUCUAAUUGUAAUGAAUGACCCUGGUGGAAUUACGCGAGUUCAAUCCAUAGCUGUCCAUAGACUUGAAAAACACAUAUUUCUACUCUACACAGUGCCAUAAAUUUUUUAGCAUAAAAAGAACAACCAAUAUGGAUUUUUUUUAAAUAAUAAAAUUGGAUAACUCAAUUGACUAAAAUGUGUUCCCUCCACGCAGAGGUACACAUUAUAAAGUCAUCAUUUAUAUUUCUCAACAUAAAUCAAAUUUCAUAAUAAAAUUGUUUUUGAUGAAUCACCACUUCUUUUCUGGAUUCAAAACAUUCUGA